rnacentral:misc_RNA from 1 species
AUUCAUAUAUUAUUAAUAGCAAAAGAAUUUAUAAAUUUAUCAAUAAAAUAAAUUUAUUUUACAACAAUGGAAAUUUUGGCUAAUACAAAUUUAUUCUCCAACAACUUUAUUCAGAUGAAAGCAAACAAAUCUUUUAGAAGCAUGGCCUUUUCACUGUGGAAUACGAAGAUAGAGAGGGAUGGGAUUGUCAGCAACAGGAGGUGAGUCCCAAACAGAGAAUGCACUUGCAGAGUUCAUCCACUUGUUCGUCAUUUCUGGGUAGUGACGAUCAAGCACAUCUUUUAAACUCUCUGUAGUAUUCACCCAUUCGAAUCCCUUCUUUGUGUAUGUUUCCUCAUUGAAAUUGCUUGUGAAGAACCUGUCAGCUUCUAGCCUCCUGCAUGUGUCACCAACCCAGAAUUUAGAGCUUUAAUUUUUCUUUAAUUAUUUAUGUUUAUUGUUUGAUUAGUUGAUUAAUUAAUUACCUAGUUGCCAGGAGAAGGAAUAUGAUGAAAGCAGUCUCACUAAUGGCAAAUCCUUUAAUCUUCUUCUCUGCCAUGAGGCCUACAAGAAGAUCAAGUUCUUCAACAUCUUCACCGUACACUUCAUUUAGCACUUCAAUGGCUUCUUUAUCAUCAGUCAAAUCUUCCCAUUUUGAUAUGGGUAUCAACAGGAUGGAUCUGCGGAACUCAUUGUACCUUGCAACAUUCCUCUCCCUAUCCCUAUAAACUUCAAGAGCUGGUAGGUCGACGUGAUCCAACCUAUCAUGGCCAGUGAUGUCCUGUGCAAUAACAUCCCUAAGCCAUAGAGGGUAGUUCCAGAGCUCCAGGGCUCCACUAGCUUGGUGACCCAUUGAGACCAUUUGGCUCGUGAAUCCAAUUUUUGGUAGAGCCUCUUCUCCUUUGAGGCCUAUCAGGUUUUGCAUAGGAAUCUCUUCCUUUAAGGGUAGAGAUUUGUUGGGGCCUGGUUCACUGGAGAUGUCUCUAAGAGCAAGAUGAUCAGGCAGAAGUGAGUGCAUCCUGUAAACACUCACAAACUCUUCAGUCAAUGAAUAUGGAACACCAUGAUUAUCAGGUUUCUUCAAACCAACAAGCCCUCCUAAGAUGGCACCUCCAACGUGCCCAAAUGUGUCCUUAAAUUUCUUUCCCAGCAAUCCAUACCAAUUGGCACGCAUUCCUGCCAAUAAUGUAUCAGUUUUCAGAAGCUCCACAGUCCAAUCAAUGGUGUGAAUCUUUGCAAUUACAGCAGCUGUAACCAAUCUUGCAUGCCUAUAUAAUUCUUCGUCCUUUAAAUCUGGAUAUUCCUUCUUGAGGGCAUCGCAGACUGCAUUAUGCUCCUUGACAAAGAGAGCCUGCAAAGUGGAGACACCAAUCCAGCUAUUGCGAACGUCUCCAGAUAGGGCAAUACCAUCUUGGUCAUGGAGGAGAAGGUCAUCUUCUGAAAUUUUGAGCUUGCCAUCUUUAUAUGUCCUCACCUUAUGUAGCCUUUCUUCGUUGCUACCAUAUAUUGCACUUCCAUCCCACCAAGGUGUGCGGGUGUUCAAUGUGCCAGUCUUGAUCUCGUAGAAGCCUGUGGGAACUUUCUUUGUCUUGUAGAACUUGAAGGAUUUAAGGGGACAUUCACUUGCAACCUCUCUAGGAGCAGCCAGUUCAAUCUGGUUGGUGUCCUCCAGGUGAUCAAUCCAAUCAUGGAUCAUAAACUGAAUCCAAGAAGCUGCAAUCAUGUUGAAUUGCUUUCCUGUGUCUUUAAAUUUUCUCCGAGCUAGUAGUUUUGUGGCUACCACCAUGGGAUCUGGCUUCUUCAGCUUAUCUGUUUGGUUCACGGGGAGCAUGUUCCGGCCAAAAAAGGUUCCUUGGCUACCAGCACCUUCAUUGAAGGGAUCAUUGAAUGUUCCGUCGGCUGUCCUGUAAGGAUAAUCGACGGGAUUAAAGCGAACGCCGGUGGGAGUUUUCCCAACGUUCAAUAAGUUGUACUCCUGGUGAAGGUGGCGGCGGAUACCCAGAUAAAACAGACCUAAGAACACAGGUAGCUUUGGCCAUAUUCCCAGCUUAUCAAUGGAGUGCACAAUAAGGAAGAGAAAAGUGUCGAUGAUGGUCAUCUUAGCAACAACUGCAUGGAAAUCUUCAUGGAUGUAGCGGUGCAGAAGAGGAGUUAAGAGAGAUUUGAGAGAUUUCAUGACUAAGGAAAACAUUUUUCUUUGUUAGAAACUCAAGUGUUGGGACAUAGAAAGCAA